AUAAUACUCCCUCCGUCCGGAAAUACUUGUCAAAGAAAUGGAUGUAUCUAGAGACAGUUUAGUUCUAGAUAAAUCCACUUUUAUCCAUUUCUGCGACGAGUAAUUCCGGAUGGAGGGAGUAUGAU
rfam:Triticum aestivum genome assembly, contig: Triticum_aestivum_CS42_TGACv1_scaffold_641432_T_5AL-0.197758_5DL-0.160693